UACAUGGGGUGCAAACGUUGCUCGGAAUUAUUGGGCGUAAAGCGCGCGUAGGCGGUUACUUAAGCCGGAUGUGAAAGCCCUCGGCUUAACUGAGGAAGUGCACCCGAAACUGAGUAGCUAGAGUACGAAAGAGGGUCGCGGAAUUCCCGGUGUAGAGGUGAAAUUCGUAGAUAUCGGGAGGAACACCGGUGGCGAAGGCGGCGACCUGGGUCGAGACUGACGCUGAGGCGCGAAAGCGUGGGGAGCAAACAGG
rnacentral:rRNA from 1 species